AUCGCUUCUUGGCCUUUUAGCUAAGAACAAGUGUAGUAUCUGUUCUUAUCACUUUAAAAUGGUUAUAAACACAAAAACUAAUUAAAUUCUGAAAACAGUAAUUCUAAGGCAAUUCCAGACAAAUGAAAAUGCAUGUAAUAAAUCUGGAGUUUUGUCCUGGUCAGGUAGCUGAGUUGGCUAGAGCAUCAUCCCA